UACGAAGGGUGCAAGCGUUACUCGGAAUUACUGGGCGUAAAGCGUGCGUAGGUGGUCUGUUAAGUCUGAUGUGAAAGCCCUGGGCUCAACCUGGGAAUUGCAUUGGAUACUGGCAGGCUAGAGUGCGGUAGAGGAUGGCGGAAUUCCCGGUGUAGCAGUGAAAUGCGUAGAGAUCGGGAGGAACAUCUGUGGCGGAAGGCAGCAC
rnacentral:rRNA from 1 species